rnacentral:rRNA from 1 species
CAGUUCGGAUUGUAGUCUGCAACUCGACUACAUGAAGCNGGAAUCGCUAGUAAUCGCGAAUCAGAAUGUCGCGGUGAAUACGUUCCCGGGUCUUGUACACACCGCCCGUCACACCAUGGGAGUCAGUAACGCCCGAAGUCAGUGACCCAACCGAACAGGGAGGGGAGCUGCCGAAGGUGGGGACCGAUAACUGGGGUGAAGUCGUAACAAGGUACC